AAGAGGAUGAAGAUGUUUGGGAUGCUUUCCAAUCUUUUCCUGCCGCUUUAAAAGCAGCUGAAAGUGAAUCAAAAGGAGAAAGCACAGCGGAAGAACCUGACUUGGAAGUGAAUACACAGAGUGAUUACACUCAUGGAGAUUCUAUUUCGCAACCUCUCAACAACGUAGAUGCAGUCGACGAUACAGACCAUCAAGAGGCUGGUGAAAGGGAGGUGAUAUCAGAUGCCCCUGAUGGUCUAAAAUCCCCACAGGGUAACGCACCAACCAACAGUACUGAGGCAGAAGAACCCCAUG
rnacentral:lncRNA from 1 species